UUGAAGUCGCAAGUGUUGUACAAGAAGAAGAUCACAGCUUUGUCACGUAUCGAUUCGAAACAGACGAAAGCGAGAUGGGUUUUGAUCAGUGCCCCUGUUUCGAUGACUACUUUGUUGAGUGGAAUGUGAAAGCGCCAUUAGAGGUCAUCUAUGAAGGAUAUGAAGGUGAAGAAGAUGAGAUGGAUCCGAAUGAGAAGGACAAUCAUGAAGAACAUGAAAAGGAAGUUUUAGGUCUUGGAAGGCAACCUUCGUUAUCUUUAUAUUACCCGGAGUCGGAUUCAGAUACUUCAUCGGACGGUGACUUUUCAGUGACUGGAGCGUGG
rnacentral:lncRNA from 1 species